AUUGAACGCUGGCGGAAUGCUUUACACAUGCAAGUCGAACGGCAGCACGGACUUCGGUCUGGUGGCGAGUGGCGAACGGGUGAGUAAUGUAUCGGAACGUGCCCAGUCGUGGGGGAUAACGUAGUGAAAAUUACGCUAAUACCGCAUACGAUCUAUGGAUGAAAGCGGGGGAUCGCAAGACCUCGCGCGAUUGGAGCGGCCGAUAUCAGAUUAGGUGGUUGGUGGGUAAAGGCCCACCAAGCCAACGAUCUGUAGCUGGUCUGAGAGGACGACCAGCCACACUGGAACUGGGACACGGUCCAGACUCCUACGGGACGCAGCAGUGGGGAAUUUUGGACAAUGGGCGAAAGCCUGAUCCAGCCAUUCCGCGUGCAGGAUGAAGGCCCUCGGGUUGUAAACUGCUUUUGUACAGAACGAAAAGGUUUCUACUAAUACUAGGAGCUCAUGACGGUACUGUAAGAAUAAGCACCGGCUAACUACGUGCCAGCAGCCGCAGUAA
rnacentral:rRNA from 1 species